GCGGAGUAAUACAUAAGCAACGUGCCCGGAAGACUGGGAUAGCCGAGGGAAACCACGAGUAAUACCAGAUGUGGCCCGAGAGAGCAUCUCUUUCGGAUUAAAUCGAGCAAUCGGCUUCUGGAGCGGCUUAUGUCCUAUCAGCUUGUUGGUGGGGUAACGGCCUACCAAGGCUACGACGGGUAGGGGGUCUGAGAGGAUGAUCCCCCCGAGUGGGACUGAGACACGGCCCACACACCUACGGGUGGCAGCAGUUGGGAAUCUUGCACAAUGGGGGAAACCCUGGUGCAGCGACGCCGCGUGGAGGACGAAGGAUCUAGGUCUGUAAACUCCUUUUGUCGGGAAAGACUUAGGACGGUACCCGACGAAUAAGCCCCGGCUAACUACGUGCCAGCAGCCGCGGUAAGACGUAGGGGGCGAGCGCUGUCCGGAUUUACUGGGCGUAAAGGGCGCGUAGGCGGCUUGCUAAGUGAGAAGUGAAAUCUCCAGGGCUCAACCCGGAAACUGCUUUUCAUACUGGCAGGCUAGAGGAGCGCAGAGGUGACUGGAAUUCCCGGUGUAGCGGUGAAAUGCAUUGAUAUCGGGAGGAACUCCAACGGCGAAGGCAGGUCACUGGGCGCCCCCUGACGCUGAGGCGCGAAAGCGUGGGUAGCAAACAGGAUUAGAUACCCUGGUAGUCCACGCCCUAAACGAUGGGUGCUAGACGUUGGAGGUAUCGACCCCUCCAGUGUCGCAGCUAACGCACUAAGCAUCCCGCCUGGGGAGUACGGCCGCAAGGUU
rnacentral:rRNA from 1 species